UACAUGGGGUGCAAACGUUGCUCGGAAUCAUUGGGCGUAAAGCGCACGUAGGCGGCCACUUAAGUCGGAUGUGAAAGCCCUUGGCUUAACCGAGGAAGUGCAUCCGAAACUGAGCGGCUUGAGUACGAAAGAGGGUCGCGGAAUUCCCGGUGUAGAGGUGAAAUUCGUAGAUAUCGGGAGGAACACCGGCGGCGAAGGCGGCGACCUGGUUCGAGACUGACGCUGAGGUGCGAAAGCGUGGGGAGCAAACAGG
rnacentral:rRNA from 1 species